rnacentral:rRNA from 1 species
GAUGAACGCUGGCGGCGUGCCUAAUACAUGCAAGUCGAGCGAACAGACGAGGAGCUUGCUCCUCUGACGUUAGCGGCGGACGGGUGAGUAACACGUGGAUAACCUACCUAUAAGACUGGGAUAACUUCGGGAAACCGGAGCUAAUACCGGAUAAUAUAUUGAACCGCAUGGUUCAAUAGUGAAAGACGGUUUUGCUGUCACUUAUAGAUGGAUCCGCGCCGCAUUAGCUAGUUGGUAAGGUAACGGCUUACCAAGGCAACGAUGCGUAGCCGACCUGAGAGCGUAAUCGGCCACACUGGAACUGAGACACGGUCCAGACUCCUACGGGAGGCAGCAGUAGGCAAUCUUCCGCAAUGGGCGAAAGCUUGACGGAGCAACGCCGCGUGAGUGAUGAAGGUCUUCGGAUCGUAAAACUCUGUUAUUAGGGAAGAACAAAUGUGUAAGUAACUAUGCACGUCUUGACGGUACCUAAGCAGAAAGCCACGGGUAACUACGUG